CGGGAAAUUCCGGAAUUUUGGGGGAAAAUUGGGGAUUUUGGGGGGUCUGGGAUGGAAUUUGGGGGGUCUGGGAUGGAAUUUGGGGUGUCUGGAACGAUCCAGGGGCUCUGGGAUUCAGGGAGUUCCAAAGGAGCCGCUGCUUCCUGAGCCACCACCGCGUGUGGCAGGAGGUGAGGAACGGGAAAUUCUGGAAUUUGGGGGGAAAAUUUGGGAUUUUGGGGGGUCUGGAGCAAUCCAGGAGCUCUGGGAGUGCAGGGGAAUUCAGGGAGUUCCAAAGGAGUUUCUGCUUCCUGAGCCACCACCGGGUGUGGCAGGAGAUCUCGGCGCGGGGCCUGCAGCGCUCGCUGGUGUUCGAGGACGAUCUGCGCUUCGAGGUUUUCUUCCGCAGCCGCCUGGCGGAGCUGAUGGAGCAGCUGGAGCAGGCGGCCAUCGAGUGGGACCUCAUGUGAGAGCCUUCGUCCUCAUCCUCAUCAUCCUCACCCCAGAACUCAGCCCUGUCCCAAUCCAAAUCCCCCUGUAACCUCGUGUGAGCCUUCAUCAUCAUCCUCACCCCAAAACUCAUCCCUGUCCCAAUCCAAAUCCCCCCCUGGGACCUCAUGCGAGCCUUCAUCAUCAUCCUCAUCCCAAAACUCAUCCC
rnacentral:lncRNA from 1 species